AUUGAACGCUGGCGGCAGGCCUAACACAUGCAAGUCGAACGAGUGGCGGACGGGUGAGUAAUGGCUGGGAAACUGCCUGAUGGAGGGGGAUAACUACGGGAAACGGUAGCUAAUACCGCAUACCAUAAGAUGUGCCCAGGUGGGAUUAGGUAGUUGGUGGGGUAACGGCUCACCAAGGCGACGAUCCCUAGCUGGUCUGAGAGGAUGACCCGCCACACUGGGACUGAGACACGGCCCAGACUCCUACGGGAGGCAGCAGUGGGGAAUAUUGCACAAUGGGCGCAACCCUGAUGCAGCCAGGCCGCGUGUAUGAAGAAGGCCUUCGGGUUGUAAAGUUCUUUCGGUGGCGAGGCGUUAACCACACAAGAAGCACCGGCUAACUCCGUGCCAGCAGCCGCGGUAAUUC
rnacentral:rRNA from 1 species